CUUUUGUGGACUUUGGAGGUUUUUUGCGGUGGUUCUUGACUUGGAGGGCUGGAGAGUGGAGGUCUGAGACUGUUUCCCUUAUUCAACUAUGUGUGACUGAGACAAAGGAUUCUAAGAGCCCAUUUUUAAAUGAUAAAUAAACAAUUUAUUAACUAUUUUAUAUGGGAGAUUCUUAGACCAGUGAAUGGACCAUCUGGAAGAAAUGAGCCAUAAGCCUCCAACCACGGCCACUAUGUCCUCCACCCCAUCCUGUGGAGGCCACCUACAAAGAACUCUGGAAGAGCAAUACUCCCCAAACCAGUUACCCUGCAUUUAGCCCUUCCCAUAAAAACAUCAUCCAGGGAAGCAACUCUUGGGAACAUAACCUAUCAACUGCUUUUGCAGGUGCUAUAGCUCUCUUUUCAGCAACUACAACUAAUAAAAACCAUAAAAGGAA